UAUCAUUUGACUAAAUUGUUGCGGGUCAUAGUUACAUGUUUUUUUUUGUUGCGUAGCCAGUAUCGUUGGACUAACUGGUUGUUGGUCUUAAUAUGAUCUCUGGCGUGAGUGGAAGUCUAACACAUAAUGUCAAUAUACGCUAAUCGUAUUCUGGUGUAAAAUUUUCUGGGAGCUGAUGUCUCAUUACAUUAGAGAGUUGAAAUGUCUGAUAUAAUUAUAAUUCUCUAUGAGCACUAUUGAUUGGUUACAUGCCUAUAGUGGGUUAAAUGAAUUGAAUAGCGAUUUCGAUUGCACACAGUUUGUUCUUGACUUCAAUGAGAGGUGUAAGAUGUGGCUUCUGCAGUUCUCUGUUUUUAUGAACUUAGGAUGGUCCUUUGUGGAAUCUAUGUUGAUGAUUGUUCUACCUGUUCCUAUUAUUUAUUAAUCUUCAGCCCAAGGUCAGGAUUCAUUUCUUCUUCGUUUCACGCCAUAGUCAAUUAAAGUAAUUUGUGGCAAGAAAUUUGUUUUUGUUCUGUCCAAACUAAAUUUUCUUUUGAUAUUCUCACUUGCGCAGGUUAUCAAAAGUAAAUAAUAAAAUUCCAUUAUCCUGGAGUAUAUCAUUAAAUGGCAGCUUCUUAAUAUCAUUGCACAGAAUCUUUUACCAGCUAUCAUUGGGGGGGGGUUUAAAGGUUAAGUCUCAUCUUACCGAUUGUGUGUUCUUUGUAAUUAAUGGUGCUAUAAGAGCAGUUGAUGUUUAAUAUGUACAUUUGCAUUUAUUGAUUUAUGCUGCUGGAAACAUGAAAUUAUUUGACUUUUUCCUUGCUUUUGGUGCUUUCGGAAAGCUUCAGCGGCGGACAACUUCAAAGCUUGAAGACCACGUAGCAAGGCAUGGCAGGAGACGCCGUGUAGCCUACGCCCUUCUUUGUUGUAUGGGUCACCACCUUCCUAUGCCUCUGGUUUCAAGCAUUUUUUUUUGUGUUGUUCCAUGUUUUACAACGGGAUCAGCUAGAAGCCCUUGUUCCAUGCGUCUUUCAUAUCAAACUGCCAGAUGCUCCUAGAGUCUAGCUCUCCUAUAAAAAGCUUUUGUACAUGCUCCGUAUAAGUUUCUUAGCUACUAGAGAUAUUUCCAUUGAGAGAGGAUCACACUUAAUGUAUUCAUUUUCAAAUUUUGAGUUCACAAGUUGAACAUACUUACAUGCUAGCUAAUUCUUUAAUCGCAUUGUGCAUGUAUUAUAUUAAUUAGUCCAUUCUACUAAUCCUUACUGUUCUCAUUUUUCAUAUCUUAUGUAUGGUGAAGAUACUCAUGAAUGUAAACUUCCAUCGGUGUAUUUGCAAUCUUCAUGGUCCAGUGCCCACUUUUUAUUGUGUAAUUUGGUUCCAUGGAGCUUAGCUGCAUUUGUCGCAUCCAUCGGAUGCCAGUACAUGACACUCCUCGGGUUCAUACGAUUGAUCAACAUAUGUGGGUAAAUUACUGUCUGGUAAUCAACAUGUGUGGGUAAAAUUUCAGUUCCUCUAUUCUGAACCAUUGCUUCACUUGCAUGUUCACUGGGCCGAGUGGUGAGGUUAAGAUGUCGAUGGCAUGUCCACUAGCCGAGUGGCGAGCUUGAGCUGUCGCUGCACUUAAGUUCCAAUGCAUCUGGUCUUCGAAUUAUUUUUCAAGCAAUGAUCGCAGUUUUCACUUUUGUAUUUGGUUUGUUUGCUUCAAAUAAAUUGAUGCGUCAGGAAACAAUCAAAUGUAUCCAUGUACUUGAGAAUGGAUGGCGCAUGGCCAUGGCUGGAAGUGACAGAACCGAUGCGGGAAUUGGCCAUCGGAGCUCCGCCACGUCCGCCUGCCCCUCCCCCUCCAAAAUCCCGCUUCGUUGUGUCGUGGUACCGUGGGAGACCGGUGGCAUGGAGGACCUCCCGGGAAAUUGAUAGGCUGAUGCAAGACACAUGAUAUGUUGUGUUCCUUUGCUCCUCUUCGUUAUAAUUAUUCUAUG